rnacentral:rRNA from 1 species
UAAUACGGAGGGGGCAAGCGUUAUUCGGAUUUACUGGGCGUAAAGCGCACGUAGGUGGCAUGGUAAGUCAAAGGUGAAAGCCCUCGGCUCAACCGAGGAAUUGCCUUUGAAACUGCCCUGCUUGAGUCCGGGAGGGGGGAGCGGAAUUCCCAGUGUAGCGGUGAAAUGCGUAGAUACUGGGAGGAACACCGGUGGCGAAGGCGGCUCCCUGGACCGGUACUGACACUGAGGUGCGAAAGCGUGGGUAGCAAACAGGAUUAGAUACCCUGGUAGUCCACGCCGUAAACGAUGGGCACUAGGUGCAGCGGGUGUCGACCCCUGCUGUGCCGUAGUUAACGCAUUAAGUGCCCCGCCUGGGGAGUACGGUCGCAAGGCUG